GAUGAAGAACGCAGCGAAAUGCGAUAAGUAAUGUGAAUUGUAGAAUUCAGUGAAUCAUCGAAUCUUUGAACGCACAUUGCGCCCUCUGGUAUUCCGGGGGGCAUGCCUGUUCGAGCGUCAUUAUAACCACUCAAGCUCUCGCUUGGUAUUGGAGUUCGCGAUCUCGCGGCUCCUAAAAUCAGUGGCGGUGCCUGUCGGCUCUACGCGUAGUAAUACUCCUCGCGAUUGAGUCCGGUAGGUUUACUUGCCAGCAACCCCCAAUUUUUACAGGUUGACCUCGGAUCAGGUAGGGAUGCCCGCUGAACUUAAGCAUAUCAAUAAGCGGAGGA
rnacentral:misc_RNA from 1 species